UUUGCCUCUAGAUCCAAAGAAUGGAAUCCAGAGUUUCUUCUUCAUUUCUCAAUGGUUAUCUUUUAUGGAAGAAGAGAAGCUCCAUUUUAUUUCCAAAUCACAUUUCUAGAUCUGAGCAGAGUAAGGGUGCAAUGGAUACAAUAUUUCAAGGGACGUGUCGAAUGCUAUAACUAUUUUAGGGAUGUGUCACACGCUAAAAGAAAUAUUAUUAUUAAGGUACAUGACACACGCCGCAAUGGAUAUAUUAAUCGAGGGUUAUGUUGUACGCUAUGAUAGAUAUGUCCUCCAUGGAUCCGUAACUGAGAAACAAUGUGUUUGUAUUGCAAGGUUGAGCUGAUUUAUGCAUGUUGUACUUAUGGAGUUUCCGUUGGUGUAAGGACUACCUAUAUUCUGUUCAAUUAUCUUGUGAAGGUUACAAGAAAAGUAUCCUGUGGUUUGAUAGUCACCCUUUUCUUCUACAUUUUUGUAAGUUACGAGCCCGAAUCCUUGCAAUACUUUCUAUUUUAUUUCUUUUCAAGGCUUCCUAUGGAUAUAUUUCUAAGGUAGCUAUUUUUCAUCUCAACAGACAUUAUUACUCCUAUUUAUGUUCU